AUGGGUGACAAACCUCCAAAAACAAUACUAACAGAUCAGGCCCGUGCUAUGGAGGUUGCUAUACAACAAAGGAUGCCAGAUACAACACACCGCUGGUGUAAGUGGCAUGUGCUUCGGAAGGCGAUGGAGCACCUCGGUCCGCAUUACACAAAACGGAGUGACUUUAGGGCCGCUUUGCACAAGGUGGUUAAUGAAAUGCUGACCAUUGACGAGUUCGAAGCAGCUUGGGCUGACCUGCUUGACAGAUACAAGCUGCACAACAACACUUUUCUGAUCCAAAUAUUCGAGGUUAGGCACAAGUGGGCAAAACCCUAUUUUAGUGGCAAGUUCUGUGCGAAGCAAACUAGUACGCAACGGAGCGAAAGUGCAAACCAUUUGUUGAAGGGCUACAUCCCCCCCGCUUGCCCAAUGAACCUUUUUGUGAAACAAUACAGUAAGCUGCAGUUUGACCAGGAAGCUGAAGAAGGGUUCCAAGAGAAGAGGACCAGGCUGGGCGGUGUGGUUCUCCGAUACAAUUUCCCUCUGGAGGAGCAUGCGAGCCAGGUGUACACCCGGACUAUGUUCGAGAUGUUUGGUCAGGCUUUGUACCGCGUGGGAAGAUAUGAUGUCGAGGAAGUCCAAAGGGGCAGAAAGUACAACAUGCGGCAUGUGGAAGCUGAGAAGCGAGAAAAGUGGUGCCGCGAGAUGCAUGCAGUCGAUGUCCAUGAUGGCGGCGCUCGUUACUCGUGCGAAUGCGGCUUGUUUGAGCACAUGGGGAUGCUUUGUUGCCAUGCUAUCAAGGUUCUUAUUCAUUUGGGAGUGCGGAAGAUACCGAGUUUCCAUGUAAUGAAGAGGUGGACAGUAGAUGCCCGCGACAACUUGCCGCUGCACCUCAUCCAUUACCAGAAAGAUCAAGGGCCACCGCGGCUGUCAUCCUACCGGCAUACGGCACUACACCUGACAGCGCUAGACGAUCAAAGAUGGCAAAAGUUUGGUCGACCAAACUCAAGUUGGGGAUUCAGCCAAUCCAACCAUGCCACUAUGGCAAACGGCUCGCAACAAGAAGAUGUGUGUUCUGAGAUGAUCAUCUCCACUGAAUGUGGCCUUGGCUCUGUGUCUGUGGGAGCUGCAUCAUCGACGGGCCCAUUAUCCACAUUAUUGGUGCCCGAUAGGAAGAAACAUAAGGGUAGGCCGACAACGGCGAGGGACAAGCCUGGAUAUGAGGUAAAAGACGCGAGAUCAAGAUUUUGCACAAUUUGUAGGGAGAAGGGGCACAAGAGCACAACGUGCCCCCGUAGGGGUGACCUUCCGAAGAAACCUCGCAAAAUCCCUACAUGUGGCAAUUGUGGUGUGGUCGGGCACAAGAAAACAAGCUGUUUCAACCCGGUGUUGCCGUUUGUGAAGAGGCCUCGCGACGGACCAGUCGAGUGA
rnacentral:rRNA from 1 species